CGCGGCCUAUCAGCUUGUUGGUGAGGUAAUGGCCCACCAAGGCUUCGACGGGUAGCCGGCCUGAGAGGGUGACCGGCCACACUGGGACUGAGACACGGCCCAGACUCCUACGGGAGGCAGCAGUGGGGAAUAUUGGACAAUGGGCGAAAGCCUGAUCCAGCAACGCCGCGUGAGGGAUGACGGCCUUCGGGUUGUAAACCUCUUUCAGCGCAGACGAAGCGAAAGUGACGGUAUGCGCAGAAGAAGCACCGGCCAACUACGUGCCAGCAGCCGCGGUAAUACGUAGGGUGCGAGCGUUGUCCGGAAUUAUUGGGCGUAAAGGGCUCGUAGGCGGUCUGUUGCGUCAGGAGUGAAAACUCGGGGCUUAACCCCGAGCCUGCUUCUGAUACGGGCAGACUAGAGGUAUGCAGGGGGGAACGGAAUUCCUGGUGUAGCGGUGAAAUGCGCAGAUAUCAGGAGGAACACCGGUGGCGAAGGCGGUUCUCUGGGCAUUACCUGACGCUGAGGAGCGAAAGUGUGGGGAGCGAACAGGAUUAGAUACCCUGGUAGUCCACACCGUGAACGUUGGGCGCUAGGUGUGGGACUCAUUCCACGAGUUCCGUGCCGCAGCUAACGCAUUAAGUUCCCCGCCUGGGGAGUACGG
rnacentral:rRNA from 1 species